rnacentral:rRNA from 1 species
UACGAAGGGGGCUAGCGUUACUCGGAUUGACUGGGCGUAAAGGGCGCGUAGGCGGAUGGUACAGUCAGACGUGAAAUUCCUGGGCUCAACCUGGGGGCUGCGUUUGAUACGUGCUGUCUGGAGUUCGGAAGAGGGUCGUGGAAUUCCCAGUGUAGAGGUGAAAUUCGUAGAUAUUGGGAAGAACACCGGUGGCGAAGGCGGCUCACUGGCCAGUUUCUGACGCUGCAGCGCGAAAGCGUGGGGAUCAAACAGG